ACCCGCUGAACUUAAGCAUAUCAAUAAGCGGAGGAAAAGAAACCAACAGGGAUUGCCUCAGUAACGGCGAGUGAAGCGGCAACAGCUCAAAUUUGAAAUCUGGCCUCACGGUCCGAGUUGUAAUUUGUAGAGGAUGCUUUUGGCGAGGUGCUUUCCGAGUUCCCUGGAACGGGACGCCAUAGAGGGUGAGAGCCCCGUACGGUAAGACCACCGAGCCUCUGCAAAGCUCCUUCGACGAGUCGAGUAGUUUGGGAAUGCUGCUCUAAAUGGGAGGUGUACGUCUUCUAAAGCUAAAUACCGGCCAGAGACCGAUAGCGCACAAGUAGAGUGAUCGAAAGAUGAAAAGCACUUUGAAAAGAGGGUUAAAAAGUACGUGAAAUUGUUGAAAGGGAAGCAUUCAUGACCAGACUUGGGCUUGGUUGAACAUCCGGCGUUCUCGCCGGUGCACUCUGCCAGUCCAGGCCAGCAUCAGUUUGCCCCGGGGGACAAAGGCGGUGGGAAUGUGGCUCUCUUCGGGGAGUGUUAUAGCCCGCCGUGUAAUGCCCUGGGGCGGACUGAGGAACGCGCUUCGGCACGGAUGCUAGCGUAAUGGUCAUCAAUGACCCGUCUUGAAACACGGACCAAGGAG
rnacentral:rRNA from 1 species